CGUACACUCCUACGGGAGGCAGCAGUAGGGAAUCUUCGGCAAUGGGGGCAACCCUGACCGAGCAACGCCGCGUGAGUGAAGAAGGUUUUCGGAUCGUAAAGCUCUGUUGUAAGUCAAGAACGAGUGUGAGAGUGGAAAGUUCACACUGUGACGGUAGCUUACCAGAAAGGGACGGCUAACUACGUGCCAGCAGCCGCGGUAAUACGUAGGUCCCGAGCGUUGUCCGGAUUUAUUGGGCGUAAAGCGAGCGCAGGCGGUUUGAUAAGUCUGAAGUUAAAGGCUGUGGCUCAACCAUAGUUCGCUUUGGAAACUGUCAAACUUGAGUGCAGAAGGGGAGAGUGGAAUUCCAUGUGUAGCGGUGAAAUGCGUAGAUAUAUGGAGGAACACCGGUGGCGAAAGCGGCUCUCUGGUCUGUAACUGACGCUGAGGCUCGAAAGCGUGGGGAGCGAACAGGAUUAGAAACCCCUGUAGUCCC
rnacentral:rRNA from 1 species